AACGCAUAUUGCGCUCGAGACCUCGGUCGAGAGCAUGCCUGUCUCAGCGUCGGUUCACCCCUCGCCCACCCUUUCCUUUCCAAUCGGAAAAAAGGUGUUUGGACGGACGUGGCCGUCUCGUUUUUUCAUAACAAAAACGGGUCGGCUGAAGUGCAGGGCCCGCGGCGCGACCCGGAUCGGAGGGCGCCAGCAUGGUAGGUGGCGCAAAGCCGCAUGCCGCUGUCGCCGUUCUCCGUCCGCGGAACGCAUCAAACAGUCCGCUCGGCCAUAGUAGCAGGAACACUCGGCUUCCGAUUGUUUAAUUAAUCGGCGGCCGACUCACACACCUUCGACCUGAGAUCAGACAAGACUACCCGCUGAACUUAA
rnacentral:misc_RNA from 1 species